CCCGACUCACUCCACGACCUCACACGGGCAGCUCCCGCUCUCCAGGCCUCAGGUUCCCAGCUGCGAAGUAAAGGGGAACUAGGGCCCUAGGUACCUGCUGUGAGCCCUGUGUCAGCUCCAGGGAAGGGAGGGUGCUCUUGGGGUGCCCCCUCACUCCUUAGAACCUGCGUUCUGCAGCUUCGAGAUAGAGAGCGACCUCAGAACACUCAGCCAAGAAACAGACAGGCCAGGGCAUGGCCUCCAGACAGGAGGUCAUGGGAGAAGGAGAGUCAGCGCUGCCCGACAGGCAGGACAGCGAUGUCUUCCUGCAUGACAGAAGGGGAAACUGAGGCCCAGAGUGAUGCAGCCCGGGACCUCCCAGGACAAGGUCCAAGCUCUUACCUCAGAUACAAACUCAUCUGGAAGCAUUAAAACAAUGGAAGCAGGGCCUGCUGUGCGCCAGCUGCUGGAGACAUGAAGACAUCGAAGACCCCAGGCCUUGACCUCCAAGAGCCCCCAGUUUGGUGGAAGAAACAAACAAGGAGACUGCAAAACACACCCUGUGAUGGGGAGGGUUGAGGUGGCCAGUGGGAGAGGCGAGCUGGCAGGGCUCAGUGGUGAGGUGAAGGUGUGGGAGCAGGGACACAGCAUGAAGGAGUAGAUGGCCAGGUUGAGCUUUGCAGGCUCCAGGGGGAGGAUAAAGAGCUGACACCUGGAACGUGCUUGGAACAGCAGGUGCUCGGUCAGUGCAGCCACGACCAUCCCGUCCUGCAUCCCCACCAUGAACUUGGACCUUCUGGAAGGACCUUGCUUAUCCCAGCAUCCACACAUCCUUGACCAGACCUGGUCAACAUUUGCUUAGAACCGCCUGGCUGCUGGGAUGAGAAGAGACUGGAGAGAGACCACGAUGGAAGCCAGGAGGCCAACGAGGAGUUGGGGUAGUCCUCCAGGGAGACAUGAUGUGGCUUCAGCCCCAGUGGUGAUGGCGGGGUAGAGCCAGCAGGGUUCUGAACUGAGUGGAUGUGAAAUGAGGGAAAGAGGGAUGCUGCGGUCGGCAGAAUCGUGCCUCCCGCAAAGAUGCCCCAUCCUAACCCGUCACCCUUGACAGUGAGACCUCCACCACAAAGGGGACUUUGCAGGCAUGAAGGUUAAGGACCCUGAGAGGAGGAGAUGGCCCUGGACUGUCUGGCGGGCCCAGCAUCAUCACAAGGGUGCUUAUAAGUGGAGGAGGAGGCAGGGGGAGCCGAGCAGAUGUGAGGAUAGAAGCAGAGGUCGGAGGGACGUGCUGUUGGCUUGAGAUGGAGGAGGACCUAUGAGCCAAGGAGCAUGGGCGGCCUCUGGAAGCCAGAAAGGGCAAGGCCUCUUCCCGGAGCCUCCAGCAGAACCCAGCCCCGCUGCCACCUCGACUGCAGAACGGUGACACCGUGUCCGAUUCCCGACCUCCAGAACCGUGAGAUAACACGUGUGCUGUUUUAAGCCACUGCAAUUGUGGUAUUUGUCACAGCAGCCAUAGGAAACUGUACGGGGGUUAAAGAGGACCUGCUGACCUCUGAGCUCACACUGAAGCCUCCUGGAAUGCUGUGGGUUGUGAGCUGGGAUGAGAACGCAGCAUGGAGAUGAAAGACGCAUCCACCCAGGAAGGCCCACUGGCAUCGCAAUCUCAGGGAAGAUUCCCAGGCUGAAAAAAGAGAAAGUGGCUGGGGUGGCACUGAAUGCCCCACGUCAAAGAAAUGGCACCCAAGCCGUCCGUCAGUCCCUCACCUGCCACACAGACAGCACCUUGGACCCAGCAAGAUGUCACUCACCACAUUGAUGCUGUCCACAGGCAUCGCCUUGCUUUUGCAGCUCUGUGUGAGAUUUGUCAGCUUGGUUUGGGUCUGGGGCUGUAUUAGAGCUGUCAGCCUAGGAGCCU
rnacentral:lncRNA from 10 species